GACGAACGCUGGCGGCGUGCCUAAUACAUGCAAGUCGAACGCAGUGGGGACGGGUGAGUAACACGUGGGUAACCUCCCAUCAGAGGGGAUAACACUUGGAAACAGGUGCUAAACCGAUACUGAUGGAUGGACCUGCAGUGCAUUAGCUAGUUGGUGAGGUAACGGCCCACCAAGGCCACGAUGCAUAGCCGAGCUGAGAGGGUGAUCGGCCACACUGGAACUGAGACACGGCCCAGACUCCUACGGGAGGCAGCAGUGGGGAAUCUUCGGCAAUGGGCGAAAGUCUGACCGAGCAACGCCGCGUGAGUGAAGAAGGUUUUCGGGUCGUAAAGCUCUGUUGUUAGAGAGGCGGUAUCUAACCAGAAAGCCACGGCUAACUACGUGCCAGCAGCCGCGGUAAUAC
rnacentral:rRNA from 1 species